rnacentral:lncRNA from 1 species
GUCCUUUUGUUUUACGUUGAAGAGGCAACAUAUCAUAGUUAUUUUAUGUAAAAGGUUUGUAUUCAUCUUAUAAUACUAUUAAAAUCGGCGCAAAUUCCUCCAGCGUAUUUAAGUUUUAGAAGGAACGGUCCGCCUCGCUGAAUGAUUCAUUCUUUAUUUGUUGAACAGUUCAACACGGAUCUUUCGGUACUUGAAACAAAAUCACAUGUAUUGACUAGUUGUCCAGGGAGUCGUUAUUAAUUUGUCUGCACAAGCUUAUUUCCCCGUACCAGUACUCGGUGAAGACCAUAAAGUCGCACUUUUUUUGAUUUUCUAGCUGAGGAUUUUUUAUAUCGAGACACCCUAAUUAUAAAAGGCAGUGUCAUUGUGACACUGCAUUUUUGGAUGAGAAGUCAAGUUGACAUUUGUAAGCUACAUGUCCCUCACAAAGUUUUGUAAAAAAAAUGCUAUUGGAUCAGGAAUAGAGCUGAAAGAUUUUAAUUGCUCAUAAAAAAAUCGUUGUUUCGGUAAUUUUUCUGCCACUGAAAUAUUUGUUCGUACUUUGGAUCAGAAGGCCAGCCAUGACUGAACUCCAUAUUCUAAUAUUAACUACUGACACUAAUUUAUGAGUUCAUGAUCACAAAUUUACCAAAGCAGGUCCCACGAAUUGAAAUCAAGCCAGGAAUCUCAGAUCAUGACAUUGUCUUUAUUGAAUUCAAACUAACACCAUCUAAGAUAAAACAAACACCAGGAAAUGUGCCGAUUUAUAACAAGGCAAACUGGGAAACAAUGAAAAAGAAAUAAUUAACUUAAAACAUACUAUACAGGAAAAGGAUAAUACACAUACUGUUGAUGAACUGUGGCUAGAAUUCAAAACAAAACUUAAUGAACUAGUCAGUGGGCACAUUCCACACUAAAAGCUAACUACAAAAAAUAAAACCUCAUGGGUAACAUUUGAAACAAGAAAAUUAAUGAAAAAGAGAGACAGACUUUAUAAAAAGAUGAAAAAGUCUGGAAAUGACAACAUGAGAAACAAGUAAAAGCAAAUUAAACAUCAGGUACAAAAACAACUCAGACAAUCAUGCUGGCAAUACAUUAAAAAUAUUGUAACACCAAAACCAGAUGAAAUCAAAUUUUCCAACAUGAAAAAAUUUUGGUCUUAUAUUAAAAGCAUAAAAAACUGACUACAGCGGAAUAACAUCACUUAAGCAGAAUGGGAAACUUGUAUAACUAACACCAAACAAAAAUCUGAUGCACUCAACAGGCAGUUUCAAUCAGUUUUCUCAGAACCAAACAAAAUCACUGCUACUGAUUUUGAAAACGAAUUCGGGUCGAUCCGGCCCCACGUCGAUCCGGCCCAAGUCGGUCCGGCCCCACGUCAAUCCGGCCCAUAUGUAAAGUCGAUCCGGCCCC